GAUGAACGCUAGCUACAGGCUUAACACAUGCAAGUCGAGGGGAAACGGCAUUAAGUGCUUGCACUUUUUGGACGUCGACCGGCGCACGGGUGAGUAACGCGUAUCCAACCUUCCCAUGACUAAGGGAUAACCUGCCGAAAGGCAGACUAAUACCUUAUGGUCUUCACUGACGGCAUCAGAUGUGAAGUAAAGAUUUAUCGGUUAUGGAUGGGGAUGCGUCUGAUUAGUUAGUUGGCGGGGUAACGGCCCACCAAGACAACGAUCAGUAGGGGUUCUGAGAGGAAGGUCCCCCACAUUGGAACUGAGACACGGUCCAAACUCCUACGGGAGGCAGCAGUGAGGAAUAUUGGUCAAUGGGCGAGAGCCUGAACCAGCCAAGUAGCGUGCAGGAUGACGGCCCUAUGGGUUGUAAACUGCUUUUGUAUGGGGAUAAAGUCAAUCACGUGUGAUUGUUUGCAGGUACCAUACGAAUAAGGACCGGCUAAUUCCGUGCCAGCAGCCGCGGUAAUACGGAAGGUCCGGGCGUUAUCCGGAUUUAUUGGGUUUAAAGGGAGCGUAGGCUGGAGAUUAAGUGUGUUGUGAAAUGUAGACGCUCAACGUCUGACUUGCAGCGCAUACUGGUUUCCUUGAGUACGCACAACGUUGGCGGAAUUCGUCGUGUAGCGGUGAAAUGCUUAGAUAUGACGAAGAACUCCGAUUGCGAAGGCAGCUGACGGGAGCGCAACUGACGCUGAAGCUCGAAGGUGCGGGUAUCGAACAGG
rnacentral:rRNA from 1 species